rnacentral:rRNA from 1 species
AUUGAACGCUGGCGGCAGGCCUAACACAUGCAAGUCGAGCGGAUGAAGGGAGCUUGCUCCUGGAUUCAGCGGCGGACGGGUGAGUAAUGCCUAGGAAUCUGCCUGGUAGUGGGGGAUAACGUCCGGAAACGGGCGCUAAUACCGCAUACGUCCUGAGGGAGAAAGUGGGGGAUCUUCGGACCUCACGCUAUCAGAUGAGCCUAGGUCGGAUUAGCUAGUUGGUGGGGUAAAGGCCUACCAAGGCGACGAUCCGUAACUGGUCUGAGAGGAGGAUCAGUCACACUGGAACUGAGACACGGUCCAGACUCCUACGGGAGGCAGCAGUGGGGAAUAUUGGACAAUGGGCGAAAGCCUGAUCCAGCCAUGCCGCGUGUGUGAAGAAGGUCUUCGGAUUGUAAAGCACUUUAAGUUGGGAAGAAGGGCAGUAAGUUAAUACCUUGCUGUUUUGACGUUACCAACAGAAUAAGCACCGGCUAACUUCGUG